CCGGCCAUUCACACUGUGGGCAGGAGGGUGGGAGUCCAAGCACGGCCAUAGGAUACCUGCCCUGCCUUUACGGGGAAGUGGAACAGGCAAAGUGCUUCAAGCAUUUCCUUCCAAACUCACAGGUGUGCUCUUCAGUUGAAUUCAAGCUCUCCGGUCAGGUUGAAAGCAGUCCUGGGUAAAAAUGACUUUAGCAUUGGACCUGAGCAAGAACUCGAGCUGCCUUUGGGGUUAUCACACCAUACAGAAGUGAGGAUGGCCGAUGCCAUCAGGAAAAAUCAAAGUAAAGACAAGAAUAUCACCAGGCAGCUAUGGACUGUUUAGAAAACUCAAGAGAAGAAAGAACGAUUUUGACAAGAACUUCUGCAAAACUUUGAGUAUUAACAUGGAAUAUGGAUUUUGGCGUCUGUAAACAAGACUUACAUAUUUCAGUGGGAAGAAUUACUAACCAACUGACAACAUGCAAAUCCACCAGAGUGGGGUUCAAUUUAUAUGCCAUCUUUUGACUUUUGAGCAAAGUGAAGUAAUUAUUUGUAAAUACGUUGCCAUGAGCAAAGCUUUGCCAAAAGGAAGAUAGCUACAGAACAGCUUUGCUUACCCAUCAGAGGAGGUAGUGUGUUUUUAGAAACCUAGACAUGGACUAUCUGGCAAG
ensembl:lncRNA